CAUGUAUGUACAUGAGAUACACAUCUUCAUGUACAAUACAUAUAUACAUGCAUGUACAAAAUGGAAAUACCCAUAAUUAUUUUGUUCAAAAUUAACCAUUAUGUGGCUGUUAUACAGAUGUUUUGCUCAUUAUUGAAGCCCAACAUCAAUAUCAUACGACUUUCAGAUGAACAACAACUGCAUGAUUACAACACUGUUUUAUGCUUUUGAACUUUUUGUACACCUACAAAUGUAGGCCUGUAUUCAGUGUUUAUAUGAAAUGAAAUAGAAAAAUUAUAAAUCAUGAUAAAAAAUGAUUUUCUUGUUCUCUCAUGUCUCUGCAGGUGGCCAAUUUAUAAACAACUAUUUUUUGCCUGAUGGAGAGUUGUUUCAUUGGCAAUCUGAGUGAAUCAAUUUUUUUUAUAUGUCAUAUUCUUACUUUUAUCAUUACAUGUACAUGUAACUCAAAUUAGUGGUGUGUCAGUGAAUUGUAUGCCUACAUGCAUAUAUGUACAGUUGUAUAUCGCAUGUAUAUCUGUAGGUAGGAUUUAUGUUUAAAUCAAAUAACUUUAUCUUAUAAUUACUCCCUGUCAUGCCUGUAAUUGCCAAAAAAUAACUAAACACUCAUAUUAAAGUCUUAUAAAUAAAUAUAUUUCCUUCUUUCAAAUUCAUCUGAAUGUCAUACAUGUCAUAUGUUCAUCUGUAGAUCUCUAAUAAACUACUUGGUUAGAUAUUGCAGAUUUUUCAAAUAUUUCACGAAAGAGACCACAAAUUAAAUCCAUGAAACUGUUGC
rnacentral:lncRNA from 1 species